GAAAUUAAAAAUUUUAACCGUCGCACAGUGCCGCCUAAUUGGGCAUAAAUCGAAAUAUUCGUUAUCUGCAAUUUGAACUUCUCUGGUAUUUUUGUAAAGACAAUUUAUCCACUAAAAAUAAUUAAACAGACAUUUCCCCAAAAAAUU